rnacentral:rRNA from 1 species
UACGUAGGCAGCAAGCGUUGUUCGGAAUUACUGGGCGUAAAGAGUGUGUAGGCGGUGUUCUAAGUUUGUCGUGAAAUCUCCCGGCUUAACUGGGAGGGUGCGGCGAAAACUGGAAUGCUAGAGGAUGGGAGAGGUAAGCGGAAUUCCUGGUGUAGCGGUGAAAUGCGUAGAUAUCAGGAGGAACACCGGUGGCGAAGGCGGAUCUCUGGGCCUUACCUGACGCUCAGGCGCGAAAGCUAGGGGAGCGAACAGG